GAUGUACUCCCUUCGUUUCAAGUUACUCGUCGCGGAAAUAAAUGUAUCUAGAACUAAAAUACAUCUAGAUACAUCCAUCUUUGCGACAAGUAAUUUGGAAUGAAGGGAGUAGAUG
rfam:Triticum aestivum genome assembly, contig: Triticum_aestivum_CS42_TGACv1_scaffold_210495_3AS